rnacentral:antisense_RNA from 1 species
GAAGAUCGCAGCCUUCGGCAGCUCCUAAACGGGAAUAUUUACACCCUGUAGGAGCUGCCGAAGGCUGCGAUCUUU